rnacentral:rRNA from 1 species
GAUGAACGCUGGCGGCGUGCCUAAUACAUGCAAGUCGAGCGAACGGACGAGAAGCUUGCUUCUCUGAUGUUAGCGGCGGACGGGGGAGUAACACGUGGAUAACCUACCUAUAAGACUGGGAUAACUUCGGGAAACCGGAGCUAAUACCGGAUAAUAUUUUGAACCGCAUGGUUCAAAAGUGAAAGACGGUCUUGCUGUCACUUAUAGAUGGAUCCGCGCUGCAUUAGCUAGUUGGUAAGGUAACGGCUUACCAAGGCAACGAUGCAUAGCCGACCUGAGAGGGUGAUCGGCCACACUGGAACUGAGACACGGUCCAGACUCCUACGGGAGGAAGCAGUGGGGAAUCUUCCGCAAUGGGCGAAAGCCUGACGGAGCAACGCCGCGUGAGUGAUGAAGGUCUUCGGAUCGUAAAACUCUGUUAUUAGGGAAGAACAUAUGUGUAAGUAACUGUGCACAUCGUGACGGUACCUAAUAAGAAAGCCACGGCUAACUACGUG